rnacentral:misc_RNA from 1 species
UUCGACACUGAAACACUCAGAUUAUUCGAAGAAAAUUUGGGCACCAACAAAGAUUUCACAUCCGUCGAAAAUCUAUGCUCUUUUCUACUGAAGAGAUAUCAACUGUUAUCCACAAUAAAACAAAAGCCCACAAUUUUCGAAAACAAAAAUAAUUUUACUCACCCGCAACAAAAAAAAAAUCGUUUCUCGUAUCUGCUACCGCAAAACCCAAUUGCAUUCUCUGUAAGGGUAAACAUAGACUAUUUGCUUGCGAGAAAUUCAAGCAAUUCGAGGUCGAAAAACGAAUUGAUUUUGCAAACAGCAAAAAUUUAUGUCUAAACUGCUUGUCACAUGGAAACAGUUUACAAUGCAAAAGUAAAUUGCAUUGUUUCGAGUGCAAUGGCCCGCAUCAUACAUUGCUUCAUAAAAAUUCUCCAAUAAAUUCUAAUUUUGCAACUAAACAAAAAAAUUCGCAAAAAACAUAUACGGUCAUACUAGCCACUGCACUAAUCAAGGUGAACAAUAAGACCGGCGGUCAAGUUACCAUCCGAACGUUAAUUGACCCCGGUUCACAAAUUUCAUUUAUAACCCAAGCCGCAGCAAAUAAGCUGGGAUUGCAAAAAUACAAUGUAUUGGCAAAAAUCACAGGUAUUGGCGGCAUACAUGCUGCUACAAUAAGAAAAAAGAUUAAUGUGCACAUUUCGUCAACGUACGAAAAUAAGUUUAACUUAUCCACUGAUAUGCACAUAAUGCCGUCAUUGAACAUGACACUGCCAGAAAAAUCCAUGAAGUUGGAAAGACCGACAUGGGUCAAUACUCUGCAACUUGCAGAUCCGAACUUUGAAAAUUCAAUGAAUAUCGAUGCAAUACUAGGGGCCGAUGUGUAUGAGCACAUCGUUGAGCCCGAAAUUAAAAAAGGAGAAGUUCUUCUUGCCCAGAAAACCAAGCUGGGCUGGGUUUUAUUGGGAAAAAUGCCAAUAAUAACAAAUAACUUGAUCAAGGCAUCAACUAAGGUGCUGGUUAUAGCCUUUCAAGUACUUGAUCAAGUAUUUUUUUCAAUUCACUACAGAAGCUAAGGUAAUAAACUUAAGCUUGUCAAAUAUGAACUAAAGUAUGCGUAUUUAACUAUACUAACGAUUUCAAUCGAAAAAAAAUCCAGACAUAUCACACACAAUAUAAUAAAUCCAAUUUGGUUUUUUCUUGAUUAGAAAAUCAUUUUCCUGAUCAGCUGAUUAUUUUUGAAUGUUUCCUUUUUCAACCGUUCCACUGAUAGUGUACCUGUCAAGAAAGUUUUACUGAUCGUUUAUAACCUCAAAGCGUUUUCGGGAUUAUUAUUUUCUUAAACGUUUUCGGCAAAAAAAUAUCGAAAUAGAUCGGAAAAAUAGGAAGCGUCGAUCACAAGAGGCCCGAAAUAUUAAAAUUGAAUUCGAAACCAUACUCAUAAUGGAAGUCGAAAGCCGUCAAUGCUUAUAUGCAAAAGACAAAGAAGAUUACAAAAAUAAAACGAAGCGCGAAGACGCGUGGAAGGACAUCUCCAGCAUUCUAAAUAGAAGUGUUUCAGAAUGUCAAUCGAAAUGGAAUAUACUUCGAGACAGUUUUCGCGGCUACUAUCGUUCGUUAUGCAAUACUCCAAGUGGAUCGGGGGCAACAGAGACCGUAAAAUGGCCACACUUCAAAGCGAUGAUGUUUUUGAUUCCAUAUAUUCGUGUGCCAGAAGAUGAUUGUGGGAAUCACUCGAACAACUCGCCAGAACUAUCCGCUAAUACGAUUUUGCAAAGCGAAGACAACUCUCGUGACUCCGAAUACCACCAACCAGGCAAUUUGUUUGCAAAUAAUAAUAGCAAAAGAAAGAGAGAUUGUUUCGACGAAUCACCGAUGGUCGAAUCAAUGGAUCAAUUUUUUGGAGAAGAAGGUUAAAUGCACUUCGACUCAUACGGAAGUAUUCAAAAAAUUUCAUGGGGUAUUUCACCAAUCUGUUUAUUAACGUGAAAUAUUUACCGUAUUUUCUUCUUUCCAUAUUUAGCGGAUGUACUUGAUACUUCCUGGCUCUUUUAUAUUUUCUUCGAAAACAACAGAGAAUUGCUAAGUACUUGGAACCACAACAGUUCUUUUCAACUGACAGAAAAUUGACAAGCUAUAACCGGCAUUCAAGUAAAAUGAUCAACAAUUGCACUUUUCCAUUUGUUCCAGAAAUUUUUGUCAAGUUCUUGAAAGGCUAUAACCAGCGCCUAAGACUAAACAGAACAGACCCGCUCCAGUUAGCAAACAACAGACCACAAAGAACAUGGGUGGCGGCCAAACCAAACAAGUCGACAAUACCGGCGAGGUGAUAAAUUCAGUAAUAGUUAACCCGGUAGACGUCCAGUCAAAACAAAUUGAACUUAUCUUAAUCAUAUUAACAUCGCUUGUCGGCAUUUCCUUUGGAUAUCAGAUCUAUAAGGACUAUCGCAGGAGCCUGAAAAAGAGAUACAUAUCCAACAUAUCCAACAUAAUCAGCUCGGGCAGUGCUAAAUCUCCACAGGUAUAACCCUGAAUCUUGAGAAAUGAUGCUUUGAGGCCAUUUUUAAA